rnacentral:rRNA from 1 species
CCUACGGGAGGCAGCAGUGAGGAAUAUUGGUCAAUGGACGAAAGUCUGAACCAGCCAAGUCGCGUGAAGGAAGAAGGAUCUAUGGGUUGUAAACUUCUUUUAUAGGGGAAUAAAAGGAGGCACGUGUGGAUAUUUGCAUGUACCCUAUGAAUAAGGAUCGGCUAACUCCGUGCCAGCAGCCGCGGUAAUACGGAGGAUGCGAGCGUUAUCCGGAUUUAUUGGGUUUACAGGGUGCGUAGGGGGUUUGUUAAGUCAGCGGUGAAAGUUUGUGGCUCAACCCUAAAAUUGCCGUUGAAACGGGCAGUCUUGAGUGUGUUUGAGGUAGGCGGAAUGCGUGUUGUAGCGGUGAAAUGCUUAGAUAUCACGCAGAACUCCGAUUGCGAAGGCAGCUUACUAAGCCAUAACUGACACUGAUGCUCGACAGCGUGGGUAUCAAACAGGAUUAGAUACCCUUGUAGUC